CUUGAAGACGACGAGGUAGAUAGGGCAGAGGUGGAAGUGUGGUAACACAUGGAGCUGACUGUUACUAAUAGGUCGAGGGCAUAACCAAA
rnacentral:rRNA from 2 species